AAAUUGAAGAGUUUGAUCAUGGCUCAGAUUGAACGCUGGCGGCAGGCCUAACACAUGCAAGUCGAGCGGCAGCGGGAAAGUAGCUUGCUACUUUUGCCGGCGAGCGGCGGACGGGUGAGUAAUGCCUGGGAAAUUGCCCAGUCGAGGGGGAUA
rnacentral:rRNA from 1 species